rnacentral:rRNA from 1 species
GACGAACGCUGGCGGCGUGCCUAACACAUGCAAGUCGAGCGAUGCGAUCCUUCGGGAUCAAUUAGCGGCGGACGGGUGAGUAACACGUGGGUAACCUGCCUCAAAGAGGGGAAUAGCCUCCCGAAAGGGAGAUUAAUACCGCAUAAUAUGUUUUGAUCGCAUGAUCUUAACAUCAAAGGAAUUUUUCGGGAUUCCACUUUGAGAUGGACCCGCGGCGCAUUAGCUAGUUGGUGAGGUAAAGGCCCACCAAGGCAACGAUGCGUAGCCGACCUGAGAGGGUGAUCGGCCACAUUGGAACUGAGACACGGUCCAGACUCCUACGGGAGGCAGCAGUGGGGAAUAUUGCGCAAUGGGGGAAACCCUGACGCAGCAACGCCGCGUGAAUGAUGAAGGCCUUCGGGUUGUAAAGUUCUGUCUUCUGGGACGAUAAUGACGGUAC